CUGGCGGCGUGCCUAACACAUGCAAGUCGAACGAGAAAGUGGAGCAAUCCAUGAGUACAGUGGCGUACGGGUGAGUAACACGUGACUAACCUACCCUCGAGUGGGGAAUAACUUCGGGAAACCGAGGCUAAUACCGCAUAAUGUCUACGGACCAAAUGCGUAAGCAGCUUGAGGAGGGGGUCGCGGCUGAUUAGCUUGUUGGCGGGGUAACGGCCCACCAAGGCAAUGAUCAGUAGCCGGCCUGAGAGGGCGCACGGCCACACUGGAACUGAAACACGGUCCAGACUCCUACGGGAGGCAGCAGUGGGGAAUUUUGCGCAAUGGGGGAAACCCUGACGCAGCAACGCCGCGUGGAGGAUGAAGCCCCUUGGGGUGUAAACUCCUUUCGAUCGGGACGAUUAUGACGGUACCGGAUGAAGAAGCACCGGCUAACUCUGUGCCAGCAGCCGCGGUAAUACAGAGGGUGCAAGCGUUGUUCGGAAUUAUUGGGCGUAAAGGGUGCGUAGGCGGUGCGGUAAGUCUUCUGUGAAACCUCCGGGCUUAACUCGGAGCCUGCAGGGGAAACUGCCGUGCUGGAGUAUGGGAGAGGUGAGUGGAAUUCCCGGUGUACGGUGAAAUGCGUAGAUAUCGGGA
rnacentral:rRNA from 1 species